rnacentral:rRNA from 1 species
GACGAACGCUGGCGGCGUGCCUAAUACAUGCAAGUCGAACGCUGAAGGAGGAGCUUGCUCUUCUGGAUGAGUUGCGAACGGGUGAGUAACGCGUAGGUAACCCGCCUGGUAGCGGGGGAUAACUAUUGGAAACGAUAGCUAAUACCGCAUAACAGUAGAUGUUGCAUGACAUUUGCUUAAAAGGUGCAAUUGCACCACUACCAGAUGGACCUGCGUUGUAUUAGCUAGUUGGUGGGGUAACGGCUCACCAAGGCGACGAUACAUAGCCGACCUGAGAGGGUGAUCGGCCACACUGGGACUGAGACACGGCCCAGACUCCUACGGGAGGCAGCAGUAGGGAAUCUUCGGCAAUGGACGGAAGUCUGACCGAGCAACGCCGCGUGAGUGAAGAAGGUUUUCGGAUCGUAAAGCUCUGUUGUAAGAGAAGAACGAGUGUGAGAGUGGAAAGUUCACACUGUGACGGUAUCUUACCAGAAAGGGACGGCUAACUACGUG